UUGCAAAAAAAAAAAUCUAAAAUUAGAGAAGCCUUCGUUUUCUCUCUCCCCGAUUCUUCUCCCUUUUUCUCUUCAGCUUCGUUUUCUCUCUCCUCUGUCGUCGUCGUCGCUUCUUCACCACCGGAGAUCGAUCUCCCCCACCGCCGUUGAUCUCUACCCUCUUCCAGAUCAGACUACUUCAGUCAUGAUUUGCAGGUCAUCGUUGCUACACUCUUCUGUUUGUUCUGGGCUUCUUGUUUUGUUGAUGAUGGCUGUUGUAGCCUAGAUGCUGCUACUGCAGUUCCUGGAGUGAAGCUGAUAUCUUCUUCUCUGGUAGCAGCUGCUGUUGCGAGAAGUUUGUUGAUGGUUGCACUUUGCUAAGUUGGAUGACCUGCUCUUCUUUGUUGUUGUUGUGUUAGAUGAAGUAUUCAAACAUACUACUUCACCCGGUAUUCAACAAUCCGAGGGAGCAUCCUUUUACCAUUGAGUAGAUAAAUGAAGUUCGGGAAAAGUUGGCAAAGUUCAUUACCAUUUAUUGUCUUUGAUAUUUUCUUGUAGUGAAUCUUAGAUUAUGGAUGCUAGUUUUUCAUAGGAUUGUAAUGUAAUCAAUUUUUAUAUUUAUAAUUACAUACUAUUCAAUUUAAUUAUCUA